rnacentral:rRNA from 1 species
AAUUUUGGCCAUUGGCGGAAACCCUGCUCCACCAAUCCCGCGUGUGUGAUGAAGGCCUUCGGGUUGUAAAGUCCUUUUGGCGGAGAAGAACAGGUACCUCCUCAUACGAGGUACUGCUGACGGAAUCUGCAGAAGAAGAAUCGGCUACCUACGUGCCAGCAGCCGCGGUAAUACGUAGGGUGCAAGCGUUAAUCGGAAUUACUGGGCGUAAAGCGUGUGUAGGCGGUUCGGAAAGAAAGAUGUGAAAGCCCAGGGCUCAACCUUGGAACUGCAUUUUGAACUGCCGGGCUAGAGUAUGUCAGAGGGGGGUAGAAUUCCACGUGUAGCAGUGAAAUGCGUAGAUAUGUGGAGGAAUACCGAUGGCGAAGGCAGCCCCCUGGGAUAAUACUGACGCUCAGACACGAAAGCGUGGGGAGCAAACAG